GAAACAGUUGCUAAGACUGGAUAGGAAAAGUAAAGGCAUCUUUACUUUUUUAAAAGAUCUUCUUUGAAGGUAUGCUUAAGGAGGGGCUUGCGACACAUUAGUUAGUUGGUAGGGUAAAGGCCUACCAAGACUAUGAUGUGUAGCUGGACUGAGAGGUUGAACAGCCACAUUGGGACUGAGACACGGCCCAAACUCCUACGGGAGGCAGCAGUAGGGAAUUUUCGGCAAUGGAGGAAACUCUGACCGAGCAACGCCGCUUGAACGAUGAAGUACCUCGGUAUGUAAAGUUCUUUUAUUAAGGAAGAAAAAAGAGUGGAAAAACUCCCUUGACGGUACUUAAUGAAUAAGCCCCGGCUAAUUAUGUGCCAGCAGCCGCGGUAAUACAUAAGGGGCGAGCGUUAUCCGGAAUUAUUGGGCGUAAAGGGUGCGUAGGCGGUUUAAUAAGUCUAUAGUUUAAUUUCAGUGCUUAACGCUGUUGUGCUAUAGAAACUGUUUUACUAGAGUGAGAUAGAGGCAAGCGGAAUUCCAUGUGUAGCGGUAAAAUGCGUAAAUAUAUGGAGGAACACCAGAGGCGUAGGCGGCUUGCUGGGUCUUUACUGACGCUGAGGCACGAAAGCGUGGGGAGCAAACAGGAUUAGAUACCCUGGUAGUCCACGCCGUAAACGAUGAGUACUAAGUGUCGGGUAAAACUGGUACUGAAGUUAACACAUUAAGUACUCCGCCUGAGUAGUGCGUACGCAAGUAUGAAACUUAAAGGAAUUGACGGGACUCCGCACAAGCGGUGGAUCAUGUUGUUUAAUUCGAAGAUACACGAAAAACCUUACCAGGUCUUGACAUUUUCUUGCGAAGUUAUAGAAAUAUAAUGGAGGUCAUCAGGAAAACAGGUGCUGCAUGGUUGUCGUCAGCUCGUGUCGUGAGAUGUUAGGUUAAGUCCUAAAACGAGCGCAACCCUUGUCGUUAGUUGCCAGCAUGUAAUGAUGGGGACUUUAACGAGACUGCCAAUGAAAAAUUGGAGGAAGGUGGGGAUUACGUCAAAUCAUCAUGCCCCUUAUGAUCUGGGCUACAAACGUGAUACAAUGGUUGAUACAAAGAGUAGCUGAAACGCGAGUUCUUAGCCAAUCUCAAAAAAUCAAUCUCAGUUCGGAUUGAAGUCUGCAACUCGACUUCAUGAAGUUGGAAUCGCUAGUAAUCGCGAAUCAGCAUGUCGCGGUGAAUACGUUCUCGGGGUUUGUACACACCGCCCGUCA
rnacentral:rRNA from 1 species